rnacentral:rRNA from 1 species
AUUGAACGCUGGCGGCAGGCUUAACACAUGCAAGUCGAGCGGAGUGAUGGUGCUUGCACUAUCACUUAGCGGCGGACGGGUGAGUAAUGCUUAGGAAUCUGCCUAUUAGUGGGGGACAACAUCUCGAAAGGGAUGCUAAUACCGCAUACGUCCUACGGGAGAAAGCAGGGGAUCACUUGUGACCUUGCGCUAAUAGAUGAGCCUAAGUCGGGUUAGCUAGUUGGUGGGGUAAAGGCCUACCAAGGCGACGAUCUGUAGCGGGUCUGAGAGGAUGAUCCGCCACACUGGGACUGAGACACGGCCCAGACUCCUACGGGAGGCAGCAGUGGGGAAUAUUGGACAAUGGGGGGAACCCUGAUCCAGCCAUGCCGCGUGUGUGAAGAAGGCCUUAUGGUUGUAAAGCACUUUAAGCGAGGAGGAGGCUCUUUUGGUUAAUACCCAAGAUGAGUGGACGUUACUCGCAGAAUAAGCACCGGCUAACUCUGUGCCAGCAGCCGCAGUAA